AAAGGAAAAAUAAAUAAGGUGGUUAAAAAGACCAAAGUGACUUGAAGACAUCUAUCUGAUGCUAAAGGAUCAUGUUGGGAAAACUAUCCAAAAAUCAUGUUAGAAAAAGUUAUAGGAAAUGAUCAAUUGGCUAGAAAAAAGAAAGGUGAAUGAAUUGCUGCCAAGGCUAAGUGAAGGAUGACUAUCAGCUCCAGGUUAAUUAGCUGGGACAGACAACUAUGUUGAGAUGCACAACGUCAAAGAGAGUACUGAGCAUGUUGUGAUGUUACCACUGUACAGCAGAGUGUGCUAGAAUGAUUAGAACCAAACUACACAGUAAGCUGAGGUCUGUGAUAAUGUAGUAAGCAAGGAAAUAAAAAGAGACAAGGGAGAAAAGGACAAAUAAGGAAACUGGCUGUUGAUAGCUUGCACACACUUGUAUGCCAUAAGGACCUUUUGAAGUUGCAGCAGAAACAGUCCCUGUGGAACAAUGAUAACAGGAGAGACAGACAUUGAUGUGUAAAUUACAUCAUCACCCAAAGCCACUUCCACUCAAGCAGAGUCCCAGAUCAUAUUGGGGUUCAAAGGGACUCUAAUCUUACCCUACUCAUUUUUUUUUUCUCCUAAACUCUUGCCAGAAAUGAGGG
rnacentral:lncRNA from 10 species